rnacentral:tRNA from 1 species
ACCGCUAUGAUAAAAUUGGUAGACACGCUGCUCUUAAGAAGCAAUGAUAGAGCAUCUCGGUUCGAGUCCGAGUAGCAGCA